AAAUCAUCGGCAUUCCUCAAAGACACAUUUCAUUGUAGUACUGGUACAAGAAUAACACCUGAGGUACCUUAGAACAAUAAAACAUGAGACAUUUUGAAGCAUGACAUGAGAGAUCAACCUGCAAGGCACCGUGGUACUGCCCGCAUCCCUGUGCCAUCUGGGACAAUACGGAAUUCUUG